CUGGGGUUGUGCAAACCCCUCCCAAGGCUUUUGUUCAGGCUGUCCCGGCAGCUGCUGCAGAUGCCUUCAGCACACAGCUGCGGGCCCUGAGCACGCUCAGCGUCUGCACCAGCUCCGGCACUGGGCUCCCGUAAUAGACGAUGACAAGCUGGCAGCCUGCGGGCUGGCUCGAGCACACGUUGAGAACGUGCCCAAGCAGCAGGCUGUUCUACGAUUCCGUGAUUGCCUUUGGAUCUUCUCUCUAAUACAUCACCUUAGAGAAGCUCACAAAGCUCCAAACCAGCCUUGGGUCUCUUGCAGAAGAUCUGCAUCAGCAAGGUGCCUCGACGUCAAGGUGCGAGGGAUCUGUGUGCAGGUGUGAUCUCGAGACAUCCCUCCUCCAGGGGAGAUCCUGUCAUGCAGCCCGCUGCUGUGCAGGAGAGCUCGAGGGGUGCUUGGGCUGCUCCCUGUUUUGGGGUAAGAUGACCGCCUCCUUGCCAUGCUUUGUCUUAGGCACACAAUCCAUGUGUUGAAUCUGCUGUGGAACUGGGUGUCAGCUAUCAGUUCUUUCAGCCCCCCAGUUUGAGACAGCUUUGUGAUGGUUCGUCUCUUUGAGCCAGAGCGUUAGCAGUGCUGUUGCUCAUUGUCUUCCUGUGCCAGGCCUGGUGUGCCAUCCCCCAGGCAGUGCCCUGCAGAUGGGCUGGGGAGGGCUGGGCUGGGAGAGGGACUGCUGCGUUCCCUCCCAGCUGCCCUGCCCUUUCUCUUGUUCCUGCAGGCUCCAGUUCAACUUCUCCCUUCCAGCCGUGAUCAUCCC
rnacentral:lncRNA from 7 species